rnacentral:rRNA from 1 species
GAUGAACGCUGGCGGCGUGCUUAACACAUGCAAGUCGAACGGAAAGGCCCAAGCUUGCUUGGGUGCUCGAGUGGCGAACGGGUGAGUAACACGUGGGUGAUCUGCCCUGCACUUUGGGAUAAGCCUGGGAAACUGGGUCUAAUACCGGAUAGGACCAUCGUUUAGUGUCGGUGGUGGAAAGUUUUUCGGUGUGGGAUGAGCUCGCGGCCUAUCAGCUUGUUGGUGGGGUAAUGGCCUACCAAGGCGUCGACGGGUAGCCGGCCUGAGAGGGUGUACGGCCACAGUGGGACUGAGAUACGGCCCAGACUCCUACGGGAGGCAGCAGUGGGGAAUAUUGCACAAGGGGCGCAAGCCUGAUGCAGCGACGCCGCGUGGGGGAUGACGGCCUUCGGGUUGUAAACUCCUUUCGCCAAGGACGAAGCGUUUUGUGACGGUACUUGGAGAAGAAGCACCGGCUAACUACGUG